GUGAAUGGCUUCCUUCUUCCCUCUUCUCAUUCAAAACGCGGCGGCCGGAGAAAUUCUUUCAUCUCCACCGUGAUUCAAUCAAUUAAUCAGUCUCUUCCGUCUCAUCCCUCGAUUUGUUCUUGUUCUGAGAUCGUGUUGUUGAUGGUGCUAAGACCGGAGGGUUCGCGAUGGUGGCGAAAUCGUCGACGAGAUGCGUUGAAGAUGAUGUUGAUAUCGCGGUUUGAUGACGAUGAUACUGGUGAUGAUGAAGAACGUCGUAGUUGAGAAUUCUUGGAGAUUGAUCGGGGGACUCACCGGCGACGACGAUUCUUAGAGGCGCUCCAACGGAAAAGUAGAUACCAGAGGUUCUUCAGGGCAGACUUUGGUUUUGAAAUCAAGGGCAUGGUUCAAGUUAGCAGUAGAGCUGGUUUUUUGGACUGGAGCAUGGUUCCAACUGCAGCAGGUUUACUGACACAAUAGAAUCACAACAUGAAUGGCUUUGUGAUUUGAUGACAUGGAUGAGUUGGUGAAAUGGUGAACUCUCAUGGUUUUGUACAGGUCUGUCAGCUGGUAUGAGUUAUAGGUGGGUUUCUCAAUGCAUUUUGGUGAACUUUGAAUAGAUAGGGACUGAUUUGGAUGUGGUUUUCUUUUGGAUUGAAUUUGGUGACUGCGUGUAUUCUGAAUUGGCUUUUCCUUGUGCAGCAGGUUUGGAAUGUUGUAGAUAUGUGCAGGGACUUGGAAACUGGUUCGGUUUACAGCCGGUUCUAAUAAGAACUUCACAAAACCUGAAGUGUUAUUUUUCAAGGGCUUGAUAUGACUCCAAGAAAUGGCAACUGUUUACAAACGCUCAUCGCUUUGAUUGGAAAAGGUCGAGGAAAUGUAACAGGGGCAUUUGUAUUGUUUGAAUUGUAGAGUUUUUUGUAAAUGACUUUGGAAUGGCUAUGCAUCUUAAACUCAAAACCAAACUUUGAAUUUAUCUUCCCUUCAAAU